GAGCAAUCUGUGUGACUGCGUACCUUUUGUAUAAUGGGUCAGCGACUUAUAUUCUGUAGCAAGGUUAACCGAAUAGGGGAGCCGAAGGGAAACCGAGUCUUAACUGGGCGUUAAGUUGCAGGGUAUAGACCCGAAACCCGGUGAUCUAGCCAUGGGCAGGUUGAAGGUUGGGUAACACUAACUGGAGGACCGAACCGACUAAUGUUGAAAAAUUAGCGGAUGACUUGUGGCUGGGGGUGAAAGGCCAAUCAAACCGGGAGAUAGCUGGUUCUCCCCGAAAGCUAUUUAGGUAGCGCCUCGUGAAUUCAUCUCCGGGGGUAGAGCACUGUUUCGGCAAGGGGGUCAUCCCGACUUACCAACCCGAUGCAAACUGCGAAUACCGGAGAAUGUUAUCACGGGAGACACACGGCGGGUGCUAACGUCCGUCGUGAAGAGGGAAACAACCCAGACCGCCAGCUAAGGUCCCAAAGUCAUGGUUAAGUGGGAAACGAUGUGGGAAGGCCCAGACAGCCAGGAUGUUGGCUUAGAAGCAGCCAUCAUUUAAAGAAAGCGUAAUAGCUCACUGGUCGAGUCGGCCUGCGCGGAAGAUGUAACGGGGCUAAACCAUGCACCGAAGCUGCGGCAGCGACGCUUAUGCGUUGUUGGGUA
rnacentral:rRNA from 1 species